UGGGGAAUUUUGCGCAAUGGGGGAAACCCUGACGCAGCAACGCCGCGUGAGUGAUGAAGGCCUUCGGGUCGUAAAGCUCUGUCAGAGGGGAAGAAAUGCAAGGGUGCUAAUAUCAUCUUUGCUUGACGGUACCCUCAAAGGAAGCACCGGCUAACUCCGUGCCAGCAGCCGCGGUAAUACGGAGGGUGCGAGCGUUGUUCGGAAUUAUUGGGCGUAAAGCGCGUGUAGGCGGUUUGGUAAGUCUGAUGUGAAAGCCCCGGGCUCAACCUGGGAAGUGCAUUGGAAACUGUCAGACUUGAAUACGGGAGAGGGUAGUGGAAUUCCUAGUGUAGGAGUGAAAUCCGUAGAUAUUAGGAGGAACACCGGUGGCGAAGGCGGCUACCUGGACCGAUAUUGACGCUGAUACGCGAAAUCGUUGGGAGCAAACAG
rnacentral:rRNA from 1 species